rnacentral:rRNA from 1 species
CCAAGGAGUCUAACAUGUACGCGAGUCAUUGGGCUUAACAAAGCCUAAAGGCGUAAUGAAAGUGAAGAUCGUCCUUAGCGUCGAUCGAGGGAGGAUGGUCGGUUCCUUGGAACUGGCUCGCACUCCCGGGGCGUCUCGUGCUCAUUACGAGCAGAGGCGCACCUAGAGCGUACACGUUGGGACCCGAAAGAUGGUGAACUAUGCCUGGUCAGGACGAAGUCAGGGGAAACCCUGAUGGAGGUCCGUAGCGAUUCUGACGUGCAAAUCGAUCGUCGGAACUGGGUAUAGGGGCGAAAGACUAAUCGAACCAUC